AGAGUUUGAUCCUGGCUCAGGAUAAACGCUGGCGGCGCACAUAAGACAUGCAAGUCGAACGAACUUAACCUUUAGUUUACUAAUGGAGCGGUUAGUGGCGGACUGGUGAGUAACGCGUAAGAAAUCUGCCUAUAAGAGGGGAAUAACAGUGAGAAAUCAUUGCUAAUACCGCAUAAGCUCUGAGAAUCGCAUGAUACAAAGAGAAAAGGAGUAAUCCGCUUAUAGAUGAUCUUGCGUCUGAUUAGUUAGUUGGUGAGGUAAAGGCCCACCAAGACGAUGAUCAGUAGCCGGACUGAGAGGUUGAACGGCCACAUUGGGACUGAGAUACGGCCCAGACUCCUACGGGAGGCAGCAGUCGGGAAUAUUGCGCAAUGGAGGAAACUCUGACGCAGUGACGCCGCGUGCAGGAAGAAGGUUUUCGGAUUGUAAACUGCUUUAGAUAGGGAAGAAAAAAUGACAGUACCUAUAGAAUAAGCUCCGGCUAACUACGUG
rnacentral:rRNA from 1 species